rnacentral:rRNA from 1 species
UUUAUCGUACCUUGUUGCUUCGGCGGGCCCGCCGCAAGGCCGCCGGGGGGCAUCUGCCCUCUGGCCCGCGCCCGCCGAAGACACCAUUGAACGCUGUCUGAAGAUUGCAGUCUGAGCAAUUAGUUAAAUAACUUAAAACUUUCAACAACGGAUCUCUUGGUUCCGGCAUCGAUGAAGAACGCAGCGAAAUGCGAUACGUAAUGUGAAUUGCAGAAUUCAGUGAAUCAUCGAGUCUUUGAACGCACAUUGCGCCCCCUGGUAUUCCGGGGGGCAUGCCUGUCCGAGCGUCAUUGCUGCCCUCAAGCACGGCUUGUGUGUUGGGCUCCGUCCUCCUUCCGGGGGACGGGCCCGAAAGGCAGCGGCGGCACCGCGUCCGGUCCUCGAGCGUAUGGGGCUUCGUCACCCGCUCUGUAGGCCCGGCCGGCGCUUGCCGACACAUCAAUCUUUUUUCCAGGUUGACCUCGGAUCAGGUAGGGAUACCCGCUGAACUUAAGCAUAUCA